rnacentral:rRNA from 1 species
AUGAGCACUGAAUUCUUUAGAGCGCACAAGUUUCACCAGGAGUUGAGAGCCAAGAGGAUGGAGAUGCAGCCGGAGCUGUCGCUGGGGCCAACGUGGCCGGCGCUGGGCUUUGCCCCCGCCUCGGAGAAGAACACCAAACAGAUCAGCUCGUCUUCUUCCGAGUCGGACGGCAGCUCCCGGAAGAAGAGGAAGCAUUACAACACCUGGGAGGAGCCCGCGUCGCACCUGCACCUGGAGCUCCAUCUCAGUGACCCCCUGCCCCUCGACUGGGAGCAGUGCCUCGACCUCCAAUCCGGGAAGAUGUAUUACCUGAACAGGAAGACUUUGAAGAGGAGCUGGAACAGGCCCAAGGAGCAGGGCGUGAGCCUGGAGCUCAACAUGUCCACAACGCCGACGAGGCAGGUCGUCGUUGUGGACGACAGCAACACCGGCGCCACUGCUCCUACCCUCUCACAAGCAGCAGCGACAAAGAGAGACACCGCCGGUGGCAACAUGAUCGCUGUGCCAUGCACCAACUGCCAUCUCCUGGUGAUGCUGUGCAAGUCCUACCCCACCUGCCCCAACUGCAAGUUCAUGCAGUCGUUGGCACCGGCGCCGGCGACGACACAGGCGGCAGCUCAUCGCAUGCUCGACGCCGCUGUGAAGCCGCUGCGGACCCUGAGCCUUCUCCACUAG